rnacentral:rRNA from 1 species
GUAAAAGUCGUAACAAGGUUUCCGUAGGUGAACCUGCGGAAGGAUCAUUACCUAGAGUUGUAGGCUUUGCCUGCUAUCUCUUACCCAUGUCUUUUGAGUACCUUACGUUUCCUCGGUGGGUUCGCCCACCGAUUGGACAAACUUAAACCCUUUGCAGUUGAAAUCAGCGUCUGAAAAAACUUAAUAGUUACAACUUUCAACAACGGAUCUCUUGGUUCUGGCAUCGAUGAAGAACGCAGCGAAAUGCGAUAAGUAGUGUGAAUUGCAGAAUUCAGUGAAUCAUCGAAUCUUUGAACGCACAUUGCGCCCCUUGGUAUUCCAUGGGGCAUGCCUGUUCGAGCGUCAUUUGUACCUUCAAGCUCUGCUUGGUGUUGGGUGUUUGUCUCCUGUAGACUCGCCUUAAAACAAUUGGCAGCCGGCGUAUUGAUUUCGGAGCGCAGUACAUCUCGCGCUUUGCACUCAUAACGACGACAUCCAAAAGUACAUUUUUACACUCUUGACCUCGGAUCAGGUAGGGAUACCCGCUGAACUUAAGCA